AAAAAAGUGUGGAGGGUGCACACAUGCAGCUACUACGUACGAAUAAUAAAAGAGGCCGUACUCUCUUUCCAAAUUCCACCGAGGAUUUCGGUGCAAACAUCGGAAAACCGCGUGGCAGAAACCUUAUAAAUUGGAAGAGAGGAACGUUAUCAACCGGCGCGGACCGCCAUAAGAACAUAUCAUCUCAUGAGCUCAGGUUGUUCAGUGGUGGAAUGCCAUAAUGGACUGCAUGUAGAAAAUCGUAUCAGUGGCCAUGUGAAACCUAAAAGCAGAGUAAAGAUUCUUGAUGUUUUA